rnacentral:rRNA from 1 species
CCUACGGGAGGCUGCAGUGGGGAAUAUUGGACAAUGGGGGGAACACUGAUCCAGCCAUGCCGCGUGUGUGAAGAAGGCCCUCGGGUUGUAAAGCACUUUCAGUGAGGAAGAACGCCUGGUGGUUAAUACCCAUCAGGAAAGACAUCACUCACAGAAGAAGCACCGGCUAACUCCGUGCCAGCAGCCGCGGUAAUACGGAGGGUGCGAGCGUUAAUCGGAAUUACUGGGCGUAAAGCGCGCGUAGGUGGCUUGAUAAGCCGGUUGUGAAAGCCCCGGGCUCAACCUGGGAACGGCAUCCGGAACUGUCAAGCUAGAGUGCAGGAGAGGAAGGUAGAAUUCCCGGUGUAGCGGUGAAAUGCGUAGAGAUCGGGAGGAAUACCAGUGGCGAAGGCGGCCUUCUGGACUGACACUGACACUGAGGUGCGAAAGCGUGGGUAGCAAACAGGAUUAGAUACCCCAGUAGUC